rnacentral:autocatalytically_spliced_intron from 1 species
CAAAAAGAUUUUGAGAUCUUUGCCAAGAUUUGUCAGUUGGUAAAUGCUAAUCAGCAUCUCAAUCCUAAAUCUCUCAAAGAGAUCAUUGAUUGGGCAUACCAAAUGAACGCCAGUGGUAAACGCCGCUAUAGCAAAUCAGAACUCCUACGGUUUAUGACAAGAUGAAGAUAUAGUCUGAUCCAUCGCGAAAGCGAUUU